rnacentral:rRNA from 1 species
GUGCCAGCCGCCGCGGUAAUACCGGCAGCUCGAGUGAUGGCCGAUCUUAUUGGGCCUAAAGCGUCCGUAGCUGGCCUCGCAAGUCCGUCGGGAAAUCCAUCAGCUCAACUAAUGGGCGUCCGGCGGGAACUCCGAGGCUUGGGACCGGAAGGCUCGAGGGGUACGUCCGGGGUAGGAGUGAAAUCCCGUAAUCCCGAACGGACCACCGAUGGCGAAAGCACCUCGAGAAGACGGCUCCGACAGUGAGGGACGGAAGCUAGGGUCUCGAACCGGAUUAGAAACCCGAGUAGUCC